rnacentral:rRNA from 1 species
UACGUAGGGGGCAAGCGUUGUCCGGAAUCAUUGGGCGUAAAGCGCGUGUAGGCGGCAGGCCAAGUCGGUGGUGAAAGCGCCCGGCUCAACUGGGCGAGGUCCAUGGAAACUGGUCAGCUGGAGGACGGUAGAGGCGAGUGGAAUUCCCGGUGUAGUGGUGAAAUGCGUAGAGAUCGGGAGGAACACCUGUGGCGAAGGCGGCUCGCUGGGCCGGUCCUGACGCUGAAACGCGAAGGCGUGGGGAGCGAACGGG